CGGGUAACGGGGAAUUAGGGUUCGAUUCCGGAGAGGGAGCCUGAGAAAUGGCUACCACUUCUACGGAAGGCAGCAGGCGCGCAAAUUACUCAAUCCCAAUACGGGGAAGUAGUGACAAUAAAUAUCAAUACCUAUCCUUAACGGAGGGCAAUUGAAAUGAACACAAAUUAAAACUCUUAAUUAACACAAUUGGAGGGCAAGUCUGGUGCCAGCAGCCGCGGUAAUUCCAGCUCCAAUAGCAUAUACUAAAGUUGUUGCAGUUAAAAAGCUCGUAGUUGAAGUUAAAGGUUUACUGGGCUAAAGUUAUUUGCCACUCUGGUGGUUAAAUCAACUCCAGUAUUCCUUUUUUUAAUAGCUCUGCUUCUAGCAUCUUUGAUGUUAGUUGUUUGGGCAUUUCACUGUGAGAAAAUUGUGGUGUUUAAAGCAGGCGUCUCGCCUGAUCUUUUGCAGCAUGGUAUGAUGAAACAUGACAUUUUACGCUAUUGGUUUGCGUCUAAAGUGUAAUGAUUAAUAGGGAUGGAUGGGGGUGU
rnacentral:rRNA from 1 species